UACCAGCUCUCCGAGUUGUAGGGAUGAUUAUUGGGCUUAAAGCGUCCGUAGCUGGCUUAGCAAGUCUCCUGUUAAAUUCAGCGACCUAAUCGUUGAGCCGCGGGAGAUACUACUAGGCUAGGAGGCGGGAGAGGUCGACGGUACUUUCGGGGUAGGGGUGAAAUCCUAUAAUCCCGGGAGGACCACCAGUGGCGAAGGCUGCCGACUAGAACGCGCUCGACGGUGAGGGACGAAAGCUGGGGGAGCGAACCGGAUUAGAUACCCGGGUAGUCCCAGCUGUAAACUAUGCGGGCUAGGUGUUGGGGUGGCUACGGGCCACUUCAGUGCCGCAGGAAGCCAUUAAGCCCGCCGCCUGGGGAGUACGGCCGCAAGGCUGAAACUUAAAGGAAUUGGCGGGGAGCACCACAAGGCGUGAAGCUUGCGGUUC
rnacentral:rRNA from 1 species